UGCCCCGUGGUGUAAUUGGCAACACGCUUGGCUCUGGACCAAGAGACUCCUGGUUCGAACCCAGGCGGGGCAA
rfam:Gemmatimonas sp. SM23_52 WORSMTZ_16761, whole genome shotgun sequence.